rnacentral:ncRNA from 2 species
AUGAUACUGUAUCUCCGAGUCGUUAUUGCCUAAAGACGCGCCGGCGUCCAUGGCAUUUCGACCUGGGCAACCACGGGGUAUAUUGAGAAAUCGAUAUGCCUACCAUGUUUGUAAAGGAGAUUCAGGGAUUUGGGA